rnacentral:rRNA from 1 species
AUGUUGUCUUCCGUUCGCACGCGUAUAUAUAUACCCGGCCACACGCGCCAUAUUAUCAUCAACUGCUUUCAAGGCAUACACCUACAAAUCAAGCUCCCAGCUCCCAAUCAGCUAGUCAGCAGCAACACUACCGCCUCUCAAAAAAGAAGAUCGAUGAAUAGUCACUCGAUCAUGGCGGUGCCGUCGGUGUUCGCCGCCUUCGACAAGGACGGCGACGGCAAGGUUUCUGUGUCCGAGCUACGGCGCUGCAUGGAGGCGACGCUGGGCGAGGACGUGCCCGAGGAGGAGGCGGCGGUGACCCUUGCUGCGGUGGACGCGGACGGCGACGGGCUGCUAAACCAAGAAGAGUUCUCGAGACUGGCCACCGCCGGCACCCAUGAAGAGGACGAUGCCGACGUCAAGCGAAGGUGCCUGAGGGAGGCAUUCGGGAUGUACGCGUCGUCGUCUGCGGAAGACACGAUUACCCCAGCGAGCUUGAGGCGGACGCUGAGCAGGCUGGGGUCGCACGAGCUGGGCGUGGAGGAGUGCAGGGCAAUGAUCUGCAGGUUCGACCUCGACGGGGACGGCAAACUCUCGUUCGACGAGUUCCGGAUCAUGAUGAUGGCCUGA